GAUGAAGAACGGUAGCGAAAUGCGAUAAGUAAUGUGAAUUGCAGAAUUCAGUGAAUCAUCGAAUCUUUGAACGCACAUUGCGCCCCUUGGUAUUCCGAGGGGCAUGCCUGUUCGAGCGUCAUUAUAACCCCUCAAGCUCAGCUUGGUGUUGGGGCCUGCUGCACUGGCAGCCCUUAAAAUCAGUGGCGGCGCCAUCUGGCUCUAAGCGUAGUAAUUCUUCUCGCUAUGGAGUCCUGGUGGAUGCUUGCCAUCAACCCCCAAUUUUUCUAUGGUUGACCUCGGAUCAGGUAGGGAUACCCGCUGAACUUAAGCAUAUCAAUAAGCGGAGGA
rnacentral:misc_RNA from 1 species